rnacentral:rRNA from 1 species
UACAGAGGUGGCAAGCGUUGUUCGGAAUUACUGGGCGUAAAGGGCGCGUAGGCGGCCCACUAAGUCAGACGUGAAAUCCCCCGGCUUAACCUGGGAACUGCGUCUGAUACUGGAGGGCUUGAGUAUGGGAGAGGGAUGUAGAAUUCCAGGUGUAGCGGUGAAAUGCGUAGAUAUCUGGAGGAAUACCGGUGGCGAAGGCGGCAUCCUGGACCAUUACUGACGCUGAGGCGCGAAAGCUAGGGGAGCAAACGGG